GAUGAACGCUGGCGGCGUGCCUAAUACAUGCAAGUCGAGCGAACGGACGAGAAGCUUGCUUCUCUGCUGUUAGCGGCGGAUGGGUGAUUAACACGUGGAUAACCUACCUAUAAGACUGGCAUAACUUCGGGAAACCGGAUCUAACACCGGAUAAUAUUUUGAACCGCAUGGUUCAAAAGUAAAAGACGGUCUUGCUGUCACUCAUAGAUGGAUCCGCGCUGCAUUAGCUAGUUGGUAAGGUAACGGCUUACCAAGGCAAUGAUGCAUAGCCGACCUGAGAGGGUGAUCGGCCACAGUGGAACUGAGACGCGGUCCAGACUCCUCCGGGGGGCAGCAGUCGGGAAUCUUCCGCAAUGGGCGAAAGCCUGAAGGAGCAACGCCGCGUGGGUGAUGAAGGUGUUCGGAUCGUAAAACCCUGUUAUUAGGGGAGAACAUAUAUGUAGGUAAAGGUGGACAUCUUGACGGUACCUAAUCAGAAAGCCACGGCUAACUACGUG
rnacentral:rRNA from 1 species